rnacentral:tRNA from 1 species
GGCGCUAUCGUCUAGCCCGGUUCAGGACACCACCCUCUCACGGUGAAGACACCGGUUCAAAUCCGGUUAGCGCUA